rnacentral:rRNA from 1 species
AUAUUGCACAAUGGAGGAAACUCUGAUGCAGCGCCGCCGCGUCAGCGAUGAAGGCUUUCGCGUCGUAAAGCUCUGUCCGAGGGGACGACAAUGACGGUUCCCUAGGAGGAAGCCGCGGCUAACUACGUUCCAGCAGCCGCGGUAAUCCGUAGGGGGCGAGCGUUGUCCGGAAUUAUUGGGCGUAAAGGGUUCGCAGGCGGCCUUUUAAGUCAGAUGUGAAAGCCCACGGCUUAACCGUGGUAAGAAUUUGAAACUGGAAGGCUUGAGUUGAGGAGAGGAAAGUGGAAUUCCUAGUGUGGCGGUGAAAUGCGUAGAUAUUAGGAGGAAUGCCAGCGGCGAAGGCGACUUUCUGGACUUAUACUGACGCUGAGGAACGAAGGCGUGGGGAGCAAACAG